rnacentral:lncRNA from 1 species
AUGAUGUCCAACCAUGAUACGAUGAAGGAAUUGCCAGAUUGGAGAGUAGACCACAGCAUGUGGUACUGUCUACCAUUCCAAGGAGGGGUCAGGGGCAACCAUGCCCUCCAGGGAGCUGCUGGCCAUCAUUCAUCAUAAAACCAAUUUAAAAACCACUGUGGACUGCUCCCAAAGGCCAUCCAGUUGAAAUAAGCACAGAAAUGUUAUGGGCCCAUCUCCAGUAGCUAGCUGGAAGAAAUAGCUUUUUCAAGGUCUUUAGUACAUAAUCAUAUUCACCCAGAAGAAAAAUACAAGCAUGACCUAUGGCAAACCCAAUCCUUAAGUUUUGCUCAGGUAAACCAUUUAAUAAAGAAAGAGAGAGAAUAAGCCUUAACUUUAAUUCAGUCAUUUAAUGAUUAAAUGUAUCUCCUUCUAAAUAUGGGCUCUUUCUCUCC